GGCACUCUAGACGAACUGCCGUUGACAAAACGGAGGAAGGUGGGAUGACGUCAAAUCAUCAUGCCCCUUAUGUUCUGGGCUACACACGUGCUACAAUGGCCGGUACAGACGGACGCAAAGCCGCGAGGUGGAGCAAAUCCUAAAAAGCCGGUCUCAGUUCGGAUUGCAGGCUGCAAUUCGCCUGCAUGAAGUCGGAAUCGCUAGUAAUCGCAGGUCAGCAUACUGCGGUGAAUACGUUCCCGGGCCUU
rnacentral:rRNA from 1 species